rnacentral:rRNA from 1 species
AGAGUUUGAUCCUGGCUCAGAGUGAGCGUUGGCGGCGUGGAUUAGGCAUGCAAGUCGAGCGAUCGUAGCAAUACGGGAGCGGCAAACGGGGUAGGAAUACAUCGGAACGUACCUUUUGGUUGAGAAUAGCGUUGGGAAACUGACGGUAAUACUCAAUAAAGUCGAGAGACCAAAGGUUUACUGCCGGAAGAGCGGCCGAUGCGAUAUUAGGUAGUUGGUGGGGUAAUGGCCUACCAAGCCUGAGAUGUCUAGGGGGUGUGAGAGUAUGGCCCCCACCACUGGGACUGAGAUACUGCCCAGACACCUACGGGUGGCUGCAGUCGAGGAUCUUCGUCAAUGGGCGAAAGCCUGAACGAGCGACGCCGCGUGCGGGAUGAAGGCCCUUGGGUUGUAAACCGCUGUCAGGGGGGAUGAAACCGUAAGGUUGACAGAGCCCCAGAGGAAGCACGGGCUAAGUUCGUG